UGUUCCAGAGAUGAGCUGGCAGUCCCAGA
rnacentral:piRNA from 1 species